rnacentral:rRNA from 1 species
AUACGGAGGAUGCGAGCGUUAUCCGGAUUUAUUGGGUUUAAAGGGUGCGUAGGCGGUCGGGUAAGCGUAGGGUGAAAGUCCUCUGCUCAACAGAGGAAGUGCCUUCCGAACUGUCCGACUGGAAUGCUCCUGCCGUGGGAGGAAUGUGUGGUGUAGCGGUGAAAUGCAUAGAGAUCACACAGAACACCGAUUGCGAAGGCAUCUCACGAAGGGGCUAUUGACGCUGAGGCACGAAAGCGUGGGGAUCGAACAGGAUUAGAUACCCUGGUAGUCCACGCCGUAAACGAUGAGUACUAGCUGUCGGGGGUUACCCCCCUCGGUGGCGCAGCUAACGCAUUAAGUACUCCGCCUGGGAAGUACGCUCGCAAGAGUGAAACUCAAAGGAAUUGACGGGG